UACGAACGAGACUCUAUCCUACUAAGCGGCGAGAGGCUAUUAGACGGCUGGAUCUUGACUCGAAGCGAGUGUUUACGGAUUUGAGUGUGUUUCGCGAGUGUGGGUACAGCUUGCGGAGCGGAUGUGUGUGUACGCGCGCUCUCACGGGUGUGCUACGUGCGUGUCUCGCCCUGCUUCUUCCUUACUCGCGUGUGCGCAUCUUUUCCAGCUCGCAAGUCCGCCGUGGCUGCGCGUGAGUUCGGGUUACGCUUGCGUGUGUGUGGUGUGCGAAAGCGCGCUCAUACUCUCUCGCUACUCGCUCUUGCGCGUAGACAAACGUUGUUUCUUCUUAGAGGUAUUGGCGACUCUACGCAAGUCGUACGAGAGAGAGAGCAAUAACAGGUCUGUGAUGCCCUUAGAUGCCCUGGGCCGCACGCGAGCUACAAUGCCGGGUACAGCGGGUAUAACUUCCUUCUCCGAGAGGAGCGGGUAACCCUCUGAAAGCCCUUCCGAUGCGUGUAUAUAUACUUAUACACGCAUCUCGGCUCGCUUGGGCCUGGGGCUUGCAACUAUCUCCCACAAACGAGGAAUGCCUUGUAUUGACAGGUCACUGAGCUUGUAGCGACUCAGUCCCUGCCCUUUGUACACACCGCCCGUCGCUACUACCGAUUGAGUGUAUCAGUGAGAUUCUUGGACUGGCGAACCAUUUCCCUUAUCUCUCCCUUCGCGGGUUUGUGUUCGGGAGACGGCGAACGACGGGAAGAGACUCGAACUGAUGAACUUAGAGGAAGUAAAA
rnacentral:rRNA from 1 species